rnacentral:rRNA from 1 species
GACGGAGGAUGCAAGAGUUAUCCGGAAUUAUAGGGCGUAAAGCGUACGUAGGCGGCUUAUCAAGUCUGGGGUCAAAGACCACAGCUUAACUGUGGAAAGGCCUUGGAAACUGGUGAGCUGGAGUGAGGUAGGGGUUGCGGGAAUUCCCGGUGUAGCGGUGAAAUGCGUAGAUAUCGGGAAGAACACCUGAGGCGAAAGCGCGCGACUGGGCCUUAACUGACGCUGAGGUACGAAAGCUAGGGGAGCGAAGGGG